CCUGCAUGCAGAGAAGUUAUCUAAAAGAUAUGACCAGGCCAGAAUGGAAUCCUCAGACCACAUGGAGGCGGUUAAACGCUCACAUUAAUCUAGGGAAAGAAUGAACACAAAGCUGGCAUUAGUCUAGGCUCAGGUGUAUGAGGGUAUGCUAAAAAGUCUCUUUAGCUCAGGAAAACUUUGUGGAAAGAAUUGAACUUCAGAGGUGCAAGUGCCUAGGACAUCAAAUAUUAUGCGAUUGCAGCGUGCAACCCUAAGGGGCAGGUGGAAGUUUCCAAACAACCUCUGUGUAAGGAUGGAGUGAAUUUCAAGUCAGCCCUGGUGAGACCAGAUGGCUUCUUCCUGCCCCGCACUCACAGUGAGGUCACAAUCAGUAAGCCCAGAUUUCUUCUUCCCAGGUGCUGCUCCAUACCUGAAGACCAAGUUUAUCUGUGUGACACCAACGACCUGCAGCAAUACCAUUGACCUGCCGAUGUCCCCCCGCACUUUAGAUUCAUUGAUGCAGUUUGGAAAUAAUGGUGAAGGUGCUGAGCCCUCAGCAGGAGGGCAGUUUGAGUCCCUCACAUUUGACAUGGAGUUGACCUCGGAGUGCGCUACCUCCCCCAUGUGAGGCGCUGAGAACGGAAGCUGCAGAAGAGAUAUGUCUGAGGCACCUACCUGUGUUCCACCGCCCCUUACACAGCCAAACCCCAGAUCAUCUGCAACUCCUCACUUUGUGGCUCCAGAUUUUUUUUUUUUUUUUUUACUUCUGCUAUCUUUGAGCAAUUCAGGCACUUUUAAAAAUAGAGAAAUGAAUGAAUGUGGGUGAUAUGCUUGUAUCUAAAUGCAAAUAGGAAUGUAUUCUCUGAGACCGUGGUCAGGGUACAUGGAACGGGGUGGCUAGAGGGAGAAAAGGAAAUCUCUUGUGUGUUUUUGUUCCCCUGCCCUCCUUUCUCAGCAGCUUAUUGUUGUUGUUGUGUUGUUAGACAAGUGCCUCCUGGUGCCAGCAGCGUCCUUCUGCCUAUUUCUGUAAGCUCGUGCCACAGGCCGCCUGUACUGCACCCUCCCGGCAUCGCACUUUUAAUCUUGCUAACAUCCAAAUAGAGAAUGGGACGAUCUAAGCCCCUAGGUUUCUUUUUUAAAUUGAAGAAUAGUAAUAAUACUUAAAGGGCAAAAAACUGUAUCAGCAUAGCCUUUCUGUAUUU